UACGAAGGGGGCUAGCGUUGUUCGGAGUUACUGGGCGUAAAGGGCGCGUAGGCGGCGCACCAAGGUCAGGCGUGAAAGCCCUGGGCUCAACCCGGGAAUUGCGCUUGAGACUGGUGUGCUUGAGUACGGGAGAGGAUAGUGGAAUUCCCAGUGUAGGAGGUAGAAAUUCGUAGAUUAGUUGGGAAAGAACACCGGGUGGCGAAGG
rnacentral:rRNA from 1 species